GGGGGCGUAGCUCAGCUGGGAGAGCGCUUGACUGGCAGUCAAGAGGUCAGGGGUUCAAUCCCCCUCGUCUCCACC
rnacentral:tRNA from 1 species